rnacentral:rRNA from 1 species
UGCAACCCGACUCCACGAAGUUGGAUUCGCUAGUAAUCGCGCAUCAGCCAUGGCGCGGUGAAUACGUUCCCGGGCCUUGUACACACCGCCCGUCAAGCCAUGGGAGCCGGGGGCGCCUGAAGUCCGGGACCGCGAGGACCGGCCUAGGGCGAAACUGGUAACUGGGGCUAAGUCGUAACAAGGUAGC